CCUGAUUCAACAAAAAAAAAACAGUGGAUGAGAACCAAAAACCUUACGGAGGUUUGGUCACUACACAAUGAACGGAUUGCAAAUUUCAGACUAAAAUAGUCUGGACCUUUUACAUCUCAGCUGUUCUAACGUGAAUAUUGAAAUGCCCUUUUCAGUUCACAACAAUUCAAUGUUUACUAAAUAGAUCCCUUUAUUAAGUUGCAUUAUUGUAUCAUUUUGAGGGGGGAAAAUCAACUAAAGUUUUC